AGAGUUUGAUCCUGGCUCAGGAUGAACGCUGGCGGCGUGCCUAAUACAUGCAAGUCGAGCGAACGGACGAGAAGCUUGCUUCUCUGAUGUUAGCGGCGGACGGGUGAGUAACACGUGGAUAACCUACCUAUAAGACUGGGAUAACUUCGGGAAACCGGAGCUAAUACCGGAUAAUAUUUUGAACCGCAUGGUUCAAAAGUGAAAGACGGUCUUGCUGUCACUUAUAGAUGGAUCCGCGCUGCAUUAGCUAGUUGGUAAGGUAACGGCUUACCAAGGCAACGAUGCAUAGCCGACCUGAGAGGGUGAUCGGCCACACUGGAACUGAGACACGGUCCAGACUCCUACGGGAGGCAGCAGUAGGGAAUCUUCCGCAAUGGGCGAAAGCCUGACGGAGCAACGCCGCGUGAGUGAUGAAGGUCUUCGGAUCGUAAAACUCUGUUAUUAGGGAAGAACAUAUGUGUAAGUAACUGUGCACAUCUUGACGGUACCUAAUCAGAAAGCCACGGCUAACUACGUGCCAGCAGCCGCGGUAAUACGUAGGUGGCAAGCGUUAUCCGGAAUUAUUGGGCGUAAAGCGCGCGUAGGCGGUUUUUUAAGUCUGAUGUGAAAGCCCACGGCUCAACCGUGGAGGGUCAUUGGAAACUGGAAAACUUGAGUGCAGAAGAGGAAAGUGGAAUUCCAUGUGUAGCGGUGAAAUGCGCAGAGAUAUGGAGGAACACCAGUGGCGAAGGCGACUUUCUGGUCUGUAACUGACGCUGAUGUGCGAAAGCGUGGGGAUCAAACAGGAUUAGAUACCCUGGUAGUCCACGCCGUAAACGAUGAGUGCUAAGUGUUAGGGGGUUUCCGCCCCUUAGUGCUGCAGCUAACGCAUUAAGCACUCCGCCUGGGGAGUACGACCGCAAGGUUGAAACUCAAAGGAAUUGACGGGGACCCGCACAAGCGGUGGAGCAUGUGGUUUAAUUCGAAGCAACGCGAAGAACCUUACCAAAUCUUGACAUCCUUUGACAACUCUAGAGACAGAGCUUUCCCCUUCGGGGGACAAAGUGACAGGUGGUGCAUGGUUGUCGUCAGCUCGUGUCGUGAGAUGUUGGGUUAAGUCCCGCAACGAGCGCAACCCUUAAGCUUAGUUGCCAUCAUUAAGUUGGGCACUCUAAGUUGACUGCCGGUGACAAACCGGAGGAAGGUGGGGAUGACGUCAAAUCAUCAUGCCCCUUAUGAUUUGGGCUACACACGUGCUACAAUGGACAAUACAAAGGGCAGCGAAACCGUGAGGUCAAGCAAAUCCCAUAAAGUUGUUCUCAGUUCGGAUUGUAGUCUGCAACUCGACUACAUGAAGCUGG
rnacentral:rRNA from 1 species